rnacentral:rRNA from 1 species
UGAGGAAUAUUGGGCAAUGCCCGCAAGGGUGACCCAGCAACGCCGCGUGGAGGAUGAAUGUCGUAAGAUUGUAAACUCCUGUUAGAGGGGAAGAAUAGUACCGGUUGGACCGGUAUAUGACUGUACCCUCAGAGAAAGCCCCGGCUAACUACGUGCCAGCAGCCGCGGUAAUACGUAGGGGGCAAGCGUUGUCCGGAUUUACUGGGUGUAAAGGGCGCGCAGGCGGGAUAAAAAGUCAGUGGUGAAAUCCUACAGCUUAACUGUAGAACUGCCUUUGAUACUUUUAUUCUUGAGUUCGGGAGAGAGAGACGGAAUCCCAGGUGUAGUGGUGAAAUACGUAGAUAUCUGGAAGAACACCAGUUGCGAAGGCGGUCUCUUGGUCCGACACUGACGCUGAGGCGCGAAAGCGUGGGG